UACGGGGGGGGGUAAGCGUUGUUCGGAAUUACUGGGCGUAAAGGGCUCGUAGGCGGCCAACUAAGUCAUACGUGAAAUCCCUCAGCUUAACUGGGGAACUGCGUGUGAUACUGGAUGGCUUGGAUUUGGGAGAGGGAUGCGGAAUUCCAGGUGUAGCGGUGAAAUGCGUAGAUAUCUGGAGGAACAUCGGUGGCGAAGGCGGCCUGCUGGGCUGUUGCUGACGCUGAGGCGCGACAGCGUGGGGAGCAAACAGGG
rnacentral:rRNA from 1 species